rnacentral:lncRNA from 1 species
UAAUUAGAAAAAAAUGGGAAAACCUAUUCCCUUCAUGGAACGGAUACAACAUUGCGCCCCAUCAAUCAGGUCUCAGUCAGGUCUCGGUCAUCUUUUUCCUCUGCAACUAACGACAUCGAAUGACAACUCCUCUAUAAGCCUAUAUCGAUCAGGUCUCGGUCAUCUUUUUCCAGAGAUAAAUCCUCUUCUUCCCCAGGUAUAACUUCUCUUCUUACCCAGCAAGUGCAAUUUAAUAUUGAUUUUGGAUUGGUGCUGCUCGUUUAUACUCAAUUUCGUCGUCAGUAUUCUCCCUUUUAUUUGUAUCCAACCUCUCUUUUCGUGUAGGUUCAAGAUUAUUGCAGAAAUCAUUUUUCUCCUUCACUUUCUUGUCUUUAUCGGCAAAAAAAUCUGCUUACAAGUACAAAUUUAUAAUUUUUGAUAUCCAACUAUUGCGUUUUAGAAUUUGUGAAAGUAUAGUUUUUUAGCAUAUGCUAAGUCGUUUGUGGUAAUUGGAUGCUAUUAAAUUGAUGUGCGAUUGGUUGAGUUUAUUCCUUAAUUCCUCUAUUGUGUUAUGAAUUGGUUCCUCUGUAUGUUUUCGAAGGCUACUGUUAUUCUUGUGACUAUUUAGAUAUUUUUCUAAGUAUCGUCGAUGCAUAUUGAUGUUUUCAUUGAAUCUACUACUAGUCGAGAUAUGAAUCCACUAGUCGACAUAUAUACUGUUUUUUAUUGUUGUUGAUUGAUACGAGCUUUUCUGAUUUUCAUAAAUCUGAUGCCUCUGUACGAAAUAAGCAUAUGCUGAGUUUGACUGAUUUGAUCAUUUUGCUCUAACUGUUUCUCCACGCUAGGUUGUUCGUUUUACUAAUCAGAAAGUUUUUCAAUUCAUCUAACAAUCUACACUGCUAUUUUCGCAAUGAAGGUGGCAAAAUAGUGAAGUUAAGAAAAAUUAUCGAGGGGUGUAGGCGAGUUCUCCACAAGCUUUAUGAUGUGUUCUCCUGAGUAAUGAACAAGUGAGAAUCAUUUCCAGCAGGCUUUAAUGGUGAGUUAAUAUUGUUUAAAAUUGUUAUGAUUUGUAAAAUUGAAGUACAUACUCUUGAUUUGCAGCACUUGUGGGAUUUUACUAUUCAAUUAGUGAUUAGUACUUCGGUGCUGCAAAUGUUCUAGUUUGGAGACUUUGCCUCUUAAACAUAGGAGAAUAAUUAGUUUUCCCCUGGUUUCUUUAAAUGGUCCUUAGUUUCUUAUUUGAUUUUGAGGUAAUAUGAUUAUUGCCAUCACACAACAAAUUGCUUGGUGGUGUUUAAAUAUUGAAGAAAUUAAAUUGAUAGCAAUAGCAAAUCAUGCCUUUUCAGCAACUUAAUUUUCUUUGUUUUCUUGUGGGCAAACUAAUACAUUGCUACUUUUUUUGCUUUGAAAAUCUUUCCAAAGAGUUUUUGCUGAAAGACACUUGAAAAAAAUAUUCCUGUAAUUUUUACAAGUUUAUUUCUUGUUUCUGAUGUGUUACAUGUAUUAUGGGGUAAGUGGAUCAGUAAAUCAUUUCUUGCAAGUGAGGCAUUUGCAGUGUACUUUAUGAAUAUUACGAAUGUUUUAAUUUCAAAAAUUACAUCUUCAACAGUGUGUAACCUAUUAUAAAACCCUGAGAUCAAUAAAGGAACAAGGUGAAUAGAUAUCCUUUGUUGUACACCUAUUAUUGUUGUUUUAUAAAGGUCAUGCAUUGUAGGGAUUUCCUCAUCCUCUAUAAAGGUCAAUUGUUCUUGUAGUCAAGGUAAUUGUAGUAGGCACCUUGCACCAGAAAAAGAAAAUAAAAGGGCUUUGGUUCUAAUCCCUUUUUGUGGUUUCUUAAGGUGAAUUCAUAUAUUUAUCCCCUCUUUAAGCAAUAUUAUGUGAGUAAUAGACUAUUAUACUGUUAUGUGGAUUCUUAAGCAUGAGCUAUUCUUGGUGCAGGACCGUAGGUUGGUAAUGAAGAGCAAAUUCAAUUGUCAGGAUUCUUGAAAAAUUUGUUCUUCCCAAGAUAGUUUGACAAACUUAAGACUACAUAUUUGAAAUAGCUAAGUGUGAGGAGUACUUGUAUUACACACAAUUAUGGAUCAUUAAUAUCAGAUGUGAAAACAAUAAUGAAUAAACAAACAAAUAUUGUAUCAGGUUGAGAGGAUUUUCUCUUCUUCAUGUUGGCUCACUCCUGCUAUAUACAAGGAAUUGUUGUCCAGAUUAGCUUUAAGCCCCGAUACAAUUAACAAGUGAUUGAAAGCUUGGAAUUUGAGAACUAAUCCAAAUUAGAGUGUCUUUGAAGGUCACAUGUACAUUCACUAUUUAAUUGAAGAUAAACACUUACAUGUUGGCAUAUAGUUAGUGUUGAAACAUUUACGAUUUCUGUUGUCCGUUGUUUUGUUAUGAUACUGUUAUUUAACAGAUUUAACCAUAUAAGUUUUUUCUAUUUGAUGACCUUUGAAUCUUCCAUUCUAGAUAAUUUGGAGCCAAGAAAGGUUCGUGGGCCUACUUUACUAAAAGAUAUUUGGAAACUUCCUCUGUAGAAGUUAGUUAAUGUGUCGUCUGAAUCUGGAAAGCUAGUUUCUUCAGUGAAAGCUUAAGGCAGUGUUUUGUAGUGAGUGUAGAAGAAAAGCUCAAAUAUUUUUCUGGUUAUUGCUGGAAAAGUUGUUAUCAACAAUAUCAAACCAACAGGUAAACUAAUCUCUCCUAUUACAUUUGAUAUGUAAUGUGGAUCCAAUUUUAGCAUCUGCAUUAAACCAAAUAUAGUAAUUAAGAGAUGAUGAAAAUGAAUAAUAUAUACUGACAGGAGGGACAUAAUAUCUUUUUCAGCUAUGAGAAUUGGUCUGAUAUGCUAUAAAUCAUCUUGAGGCACACUAGAUCAUAGCUAGUAUUUGUCAUAUGACACAAGAGAUUGUAAUGUUAAAAGGAAGCUAUAAGAUUUAUCUACUUCAACUUAUAGUAAAAAUCUUAAAGUCUUCCGAGGGAUGUUGAAAGCUUAAUGACACUACCUAUCUUCACUUAUCCUUAGUCCCGUUUGUUUACUACAAUAUAGCUUACCCUGUAUUCUUUCCAAUUUCUUUUCCAGAUGCAUCUUAGAAGUCACUAAGUAAAAGAUUGUUUACCGUGAAAAUGGUAACAACAAUUAAAUUUAUAAACGGGACUCUAAAAAUAUGUGAUCUAAUUUUAUGCUAGUUGUUAGAGCAGUAGAUGCUAAGAGUAUAAGGUUUAACGAAGAAAUACAAGCUAAAACGGGGUAGUAAUGAAACCGAGAUGCUUGCAUCCCGAGCCUCGGAUUGGUUGAUGAAGGACCUCGAGGUUGAUAUCUGGCUCGAGCUCGAGCUACCGGGGGUAGUCGGGAAUGGGAUAACAGUUAAGGUAUGAUCAAACAAGGCUCUGGAUGGCCAAUACCAAGAAAUAAAUGAAGAACAGUAUGAAAACAGUAAACGCUAAGAGUAGCCUCGAGCUAGUAUGGACGAGCAAGUUAGAAAGAAAAGAGAGAGAGAGAUAUUAUUGAUCUGGUGGAGAAUAGUUGGAGCAAUAUCAGCCCUUUACAAAGUGGCAUGGAUUCCCUUUAUAUAGGAGAGAGAAUACAAUAUAGUACAGAGUGCAUUAAAUAUAAAGAUAUGGAGAUGGGACGGCUAGGCACGAUGCUAGACCCUGCUGAUGCUGGCUGCUUGCCUCGGGAAUUCCCUACCCUCGGAACCUUUGUUGGAUCGUGGGCGAACCUCAGGGGAGGGAGCUCGAUCGUAGUCCUGCAGCCUCGAGAUACUGAUAUGACCCUCUGAAUGCACCUUAGUGGCGAGAAAUAGACGCCUCCGAUUUCACCGUAUACAGAUAGUCUCCAUGUUUCCUAGAAUGAAGUAAUAGGAAAUGAUUUUGAACCGUCGUCUCGAGGUCAUCAUUGUCGUGAAGUCAACCAUUUAAGAGCAUUAAAUGGCAUAUUCCAGAGAACUGUGCAAGGUUGCCAUCAUAUGCAGUAAUCGAGAAACCCACGAACUGCCAUUGGCUCGUCCCUUCCGCUUCCCCAGCGGUUCCUAUAAAUGCAUCGCUUGCUUGACACUUUCCACUUUCACCCCACUUCCAAGCUCAUGAGUAAGAAUUUUUGUAUUUGACAACCCUUCAUCUUUUCAUAGAAGGAUUUUUACCAUUGACAUGGCUAGUACCUCUAGGACGGUUCCCCGACGGAAUGACGCUGCAUCAUCAUUCUGAUCGCCUAUGGAAGAAACCAUAGCGAUUCCCUCCUUGGAACAAUGUACCCCACCUAAUCUCGACGUGUCAGAGGAUUUUAAUGUCGAUGCCACUUCAUCUACACCGGGCCGAUGCAAGCAUGUGUCUCGAUACGUUAGCGUUGUGACCAAUAUUAGAAAGGUGAGGAAGGACUAUCGAUGGAGCAGGGCAGUGGAGGUCCACUCCCGGUCCCGACGAUAAUAUAACUGACUUUAAGGCUGGCUUCCUUCACGUGUACACCUACCCAUUCACCCUGGGACCUGAUAAAUCUGUCGAGUCCUCUCCCCUAGAGAUAGACCCGGUUAUCCUUGAUUUCUGCGACCGAUAUCAAGUGACGCUUGGUCAGAUCUACCCUUUUUUUUGGAGGAUAGUGUUGGUGCUUCGUUAUUUCACCGAAGGGGUUGAGGGUGAGGUUUUUACCCUCAAUCAUCUGAUCACGAUGUACAGCUCUCAAUUGUAUUGAGGUUUAAUCAGGCUCCGCCAUCGGUCCAAAAAAUCUUUUUUCACGAGCGUCGAUGAGGGAAAGGAUCUAGGAUGGAUGAGUAGGUUUAUCCGAGUAAUGACCUCAGAUAUCAUCCUGACCCAGAGGAUGCCCUUUUCUAGAGAGGUGGAAUACCCGACGUAAGCAAUUUUCCCCUUAGCUGCUUUUCAACUAUUCUUCCUUUUGAAAUAAUAAUCUCUUUGUGCUCCCUGCAGCCGCCGCUUGGCACCCGAAGGUGGUCAUAGAUUUGUCGGCAUGGAUCGGGUGGUUGAACGAUAAGUUCCCAUAUCGCGUUCGG